rnacentral:rRNA from 2 species
UACGGAGGGUGCAAGCGUUGUCCGGAUUUAUUGGGUUUAAAGGGUGCGUAGGCGGCCGAUUAAGUCAGUGGUGAAAUACUGCAGCUCAACUGUAGCAUUGCCAUUGAUACUGGUUGGCUUGAGUGCAGACGAGGUAGGCGGAAUUUAUGGUGUAGCGGUGAAAUGCAUAGAUACCAUAAAGAACACCGAUUGCGAAGGCAGCUUACUAGGCUGUAACUGACGCUGAGGCACGAAAGCGUGGGGAUCGAACAGG